rnacentral:rRNA from 1 species
GGAGUUUGCUGGUCGAUUACGGGCGUUUAUGGGCCACAAUUGGAGGCGGACAAGGUUCGAUUCAUUGACGAGCUGAAGAGUAUCAAGCAUCAUAUGCUGCCGCAAUGGAUGAUGAUGGGAGACUUGAAUAUGAUCACCCAAGCAAGUGACAAAAGCAACAACAACAUCAACAGGCGGAUGAUGGGCAGGUUUAGAGCAACCAUUGAUGACUUGGAAUUGAUUGAGUUUCUGCUGUUUGGGAGAAGAUUUAUUUGGUCCAGCGAGCGCGAGAAUGUAACCCUCACCAAGAUCGAUCGGGUCAUGGUGUCUGGCGAGUGGGAAGCGGCGUUUCCCCACUAUCAACUGUCUCCUGCAUCAACAAAUAUAUCCGACCACUGCCCGCUUGUGCUCAAACGAAUGGAUGCA